rnacentral:tRNA from 1 species
GCCAUGGUAGCUCAGUUGGUAGAGCAUCGAACGAGUUAUUCGAAGGUCACAGGUUCGAUUCCUACCCACGGCA